rnacentral:rRNA from 1 species
UACGUAGGGGGCAAGCGUUAUCCGGAUUUAUUGGGCGUAAAGAGCUCGUAGGCGGCUGAUCGCGUCGGUUGUGAAAUCUCCGAGCUUAACUCGGAAAGGUCAACUGAUACUGCGGGGCUAGAGUGCGGAAGGGGCAACUGGAAUUCUUGGUGUAGCGGUGAAAUGCGUAGAUAUCAGGAGGAACACCGGUGGCGAAGGCGGUUCUCUGGGCAUUACCUGACGCUGAGGAGCGAAAGUGUGGGGAGCGAACAGG